rnacentral:piRNA from 1 species
UGUGUGAAUGUGCUUUGACUUUGGUC